rnacentral:rRNA from 1 species
UUAGAGCAUUUAUUAAGAUAAAAAGCCAAUGCAUGCUUUUACAGUAUGAAAAUUGGUGAUUUAUAAUAACUUAGCAAAUCGCAAAGUGAAAACAGGCGAUAAAUCAUUCAAGUUUCUGACCUAUCAGCUUUCGACGGUAUGGUAUUGGCUUACCGUGGCAGUGACGGUUAACGGGGGAUUAGGGUUCGAUUCCGGAGAGGGAGCCUGAGAAACGGCUACCACAUCUAAGGAAGGCAGCAGGCGCGCAAAUUACCCAAUUCUAACAGUUUGAGAGAGGUAGUAACAAGAAAUAACAAUACAAGGCAGUUAAAAUGCUUUGUAAUUGGAAUGAUAGAAAUUUAAACCCUUUUUAAAGUAUCAAUUGGAGGGCAAGUCUGGUGCCAGCAGCCGCGGUAAUUCCAGCUCCAAUAGCGUAUAUUAAAAUUGUUGCAGUUAAAAAGCUCGUAGUUGAAGUUCUGCUAAAAGUAACCGGUCUGCUUUUAAUAAAGGUGGUAUCUUGGUGUGUAUUUAGCAAUGAUGUCCUUUGAAGUGUUUUUUACUUUAUUGUAAUAAAGCAUAUUCAGGACUUUUACUUUGAGAAAAUUAGAGUGUUUCUAGCAGGCUAACGCUUUGAAUACUGCAGCAUGGAAAUAAUAAGAA